CUGGGAUUUGUGAUUCAUUUGCAGGGGAUUGCUGGACAGAUCCUGCUUUUCCCAUAUGCUGGAAGGCCACCUCUGCAAACAGCUGUGCCAUUUGGAAAGGUGUGAGGAUGCUCUUGCUUUUGAGAGUUUGAUUAAUCAAUAUAAUGUGAAUUUUGUUCAAAACUGUAUGGGUCCAACCUAAAUUCCAGUUAUCAACAGGAAUGUCUCUGCACGCUUCACUGAGCUUUGAGUGAGAUUGUGCUAAAUACGGCAUCUCUAUUUUCCCAGCAGAUGACAGCUGGAAACAAAAUUCAUCUGUGUGCAGAGAGAUCUGGAAAACAAAAUCUAUACCAAAUUCAAGGAAUGAAUAAACUAUAUCUGAGAAAGGGGCUGGAGAAAGGUCUGAAGGAGACAAAAGUUGCUACAGAUAUGAUCAGCUGAAGCUAAUCUUGUCUCCAAGGAGCGAGUUGCUUGAUCAGUGCUCUAAGUGCUCGGUUAUUGAUGCUGAAAGAGGCACCACUCCUGGAAACCAAGCAGGUGCUACAGCCCUUCAAUGAGCCAGGCCCUCAAGGCAAGAAACCAAGCCUGGCUGCCUUGGUGGGCCCAGCCAGCCCACCUGAGGCUAUCUUCGAGCCCUGACCAUGGCACAGAGCUGCUGGGGCAGGAGAACAUUGUGUGGGCAACCCAGCUCCAAAAGGGGACUUGGGAGGCAAAACCCCCAUUGCUCACUUCAGAAAUGGAGAAGGGGGAAAUAAUUCACUCUUCAUUUUCUUAAUUCACUCUGUUUUCCUUCCCUUAUUCUCAUUCCUUUCCAAAUGUAUCUCUCAGCCUGCUUUUCUUUUUGCAUCAAGCAUUUAUAUAGCUCCAAUUUCCUGAAAAGCAAUGAGCUUACAUGAAAACCUAGUUGCAUUUUAGAUCUAAGUGAAAAAAUGCAUGGUUUACUCUGGUAAAUUAAAGCCCAUAUGCAGGAAUUUUUGGUAUUUUACCAAUUGUCUUUCACAAAGCAUUGUCUGAAAUGAACAUUUGCUCAUGAGUUAAUGGGAAAACCUUCUCAUCGGUGUGCUCUGCCUAACGAGUCACGGCAGCUCCUGCUGGACCAGAGCAGGAAUCCAACUUGGCCACAUCACCAGCCUUGCUCAGUGGCAGGCAUUAGCAGGUGCUUUGGGAAACAAGAACUUCUGAAAUAGCUUUCCCAAAGCAGGAGUUGCAAUCCUUAUCUGUUAGAAGAGCAUGUUCCAUGGUGUUGGUCUCACAAAAGUGCUUUAGGAUGUUUGUGGGAGCCUUUGGAUGCCAGGGCUUCUUCAGAGGUGUGUUUAUUUGAGUUUUACACAUGUUAAGGUCCUAAGAAAUGUCUCUUCAAACAAGAUAGUUCCUAUGCAAAUGUUCAUAGCAAUAUUUAUAAACAAUAUUAAAAUUUGAUUGAAAAUAAUUUAUUGUGUUCUGGUCUUUCUGCAUGCAGUAAAUGUGGGCUGACUGACUCCCCUGCAGAGAGGCACCUGGACCAUCACUGAAGUCUUCUCUGGAAAAUUAAAAGAACAGAGUUCAGUCCACAGAUGGAGGUGCACGUGAAGCCUUCCCACUAGAACUCUCCCCUCUCACACGUGCCUGAUCUCAGUGCUGGAGUAAUUAAUUCUCGUGUCCUCUCAACAUGUCCCCCCUCGUUACCAAGACUGUGAUGAUACUGGAUGGUGUCUUGUCUAGUAUAUUAAAAUGCAGAUUACGUGACAAAAAGACCUUCAGCAUCCAGAACUGUCAGUCCAGCACAUUUCAGCUCC
ensembl:lncRNA